CUUAAGUGACUCAGAAACUCAGGGAAACAUGUUUACCAGUUUAUUAUAAAGGAUAUUACAAAGGAUACAGAUGAAGAGAUGCACAGGGCAAGGUAUAGGAAGAGGCAUGGACCUUGCAUGCCCUCCCUGGGUAUGCCAGCUCUCAGGAAACUCCAUAUGUUCAGCUGUCUGGAAGCUCCCUGAAUGAACCUUUGGACGUUUUAUGGAGAUUUCAUUGGAUAGGCGUGAUUGAUGACCAUGUACAAAAGUCUAUGGUUUCUUAGACACGCGUGGAUUCUCACAGCCACCACCACAGACAGUACAAGCAACAGUUCCAAUACUCCAGAGAACGCCCUCAUCUCUCCUCACCCCUGCCUUCUGGCAAGCAAUGAGCUGUUCUCUGUUCCUGUAUUUUUGCCUUUUCUAGAAUGCCAUAUAAAUGGAAUUAUAUAGAAUGUGCCCUUUUGGUACUGGCCUCUUUUGUUCAAAAGAAUAAUACCUUUGAGAUUCAUCCAUGCUGUUGUUUGAAUCAAGCAUGUUAACUUUUAUUGCUGAGUAGUAGUCCAU
rnacentral:lncRNA from 1 species